UACGGGGGGGGGCAAGCGUUGUUCGGAAUUACUGGGGCGUAAAGGGCUCGUAGGCGGCCAACUAAGUCCGACGUGAAAUCCCCAGGCUUAACCUGGGAACUGCGUCGGAUACUGGAUGGCUUGAAUUCGGGAGAGGGAUGCAGAAUUCCAGGUGUAGCGGUGAAAUGCGUAGAUAUCUGGAGGAAUACCGGUGGCGAAGGCGGCAUCCUGGACCGACAUUGACGCUGAUGAGCGAAAGCUAGGGGGAGCAAAACGGG
rnacentral:rRNA from 1 species